AUUGAACGCUGGCGGCAGGCCUAACACAUGCAAGUCGAGUGAGAGGCGGACGGGUGAGUAAUGUAUGGGGACUGCCCGAUAGAGGGGGAUAACUACUGGAAACGGUGGCUAAUACCGCAUACUAUCGGAUAACCCAUAGGGGAUUAGCUAGUAGGUGGGGUAAAGGCUCACCUAGGCGACGAUCUCUAGCUGGUCUGAGAGGAUGAUAGGCCACACUGUGACUGAGACACGGCCCAGACUCCUACGGAGGCAGCAGUGGGGUAUAUUGCACAAUGGGCGCAAGCCUGAUGCAGCCAUGCCGCGUGUAUUAAGAAGGCCUUAGGGUUGUAAAGUACUUUCAGCAGGGAGGCGUUACCCGCAGAAGAAGCACCGGCUAACUCCGUGCCAGCAGCCGCGGUAAUAC
rnacentral:rRNA from 1 species